UUUCAAAUUUUCUUGUGUUCUUUCUACUAUUACCAUUCUUACUCUCCCCUUCUAUUCUGCUUUCUGUUGUGAUUACUUUCUUGACUGCGCUUAUUGUGUUGUUUUCUUUUUUUUUUACUGAUUUCGUUAUUCUUCGCGGCUCUCGGUUUGCCUUAUCUGAUUGUACUGCAUUUGAACGCAGUACCUUAUUGCUAUUCCCCAGAGACUUGUUUACCUUUUGGUGGACUGUCGAUUGGUUCUUGCAAGUGUCCAACUUUUGGUUUGUUGGUACAUUUUCUUUGGCCGUGAUUAUUAUCAUUACAACCUUUUUUUUGGAAUUGAAUUGCUUUUAUUUUGAGGCAUUCUUGGGUGGAUUCUUAUUGCUUCCCUGUCUGUCUUGUUGACUUGACUUGCUGACUUGUUAAGCUCAAGCCUUUUCUCUCUCUCUCAACCUUUCGUUCUUCCUUCCAAGUUUGUCUUGUCUCGCUUUCGCUGCCCCAUACCCGUUUGCUAUUCUUCGCAUCUAGCGUUCAUUUGCGAAGCGUGUCAUCCUCUAUAUUUGUGUUGCGUGUGGUGGCCCCAAUUCGUAGUUGUAGUGUGUAUUGUGGUGGACGAAAUCUUAGCUACACUGCCGGCCACAUUUCCCGUCGACAAAUUACAAUUCACCGUUCUGCCAUUCCUUUUGCCAUUCUACUUGCAUUUCAUUUCCUCGUCUAACAUUCACUCUUAUUUCUAAUUUCCAAGUAUUACGCAGCUUCCGACCAUCCAUAAACAAAAUCAUCCAUUUUGUUGUAGAGAAAAGAAAAGAAGGAAAUCUUGGUUCAACUUUAAAAUUGCCUUUGCCUUUAUUUCUUGCCUUUUUCCGCUCUAACCUCUUUCCAUAAAAGGCUAGCCCAAUUCCACUUUUCAACCUUUUCUUGUUUCAUCCUUCUAGCUACCGUUUUUCCUUUCUACUGUACUGACUUAGUUGGUUCCCACCUUUUUCUAUAGUUUCGGAAACGAUUCACCUAUUUUCCCAAUUUCUUUUUUAUUUCACUCCAGUACUUGUUGUGGCUGCACAGUCUACAUUUCCCGUACUUUCUCUCUAUACAAAUCCAGAUUUGAAGUUUGUAUAAA